rnacentral:hammerhead_ribozyme from 1 species
GCACUGCUAAUGAGACCAAAAGAGGUCGAAACAGCCGUCCAGUGC